CAGCUGUGUUGGGCCAUUCCAAAAAAUGUCAGAGAAAUCUGUCUCGGGGUAAAAUACUCAGACUUCCUUCAGGACCUGCUUUCAGGUGAUGCUAUACCAGAGCGCAUUGGAAGUUGGGUAUCUUAUUGCUACAAGGCGUUUCUUCCGUCAGUCUUAGGAUCUCUAUUUUCAUGUCACUGCUGCUCAGUUGGGUCUGAACCACAAAGGGUGGAGGGAAUACUGAGGCGUGCCCGACCCCUCUUCUCCCUCAUGGCCUGAAUGAAGUUUUCAGGUUUAUUUGGGUCCCCUUGGCUGAGAGGAGGAUCCGUUCAGUUCAUUGAGGGGCUUAGAAAUUUAAUUUUAAUUUACAUUGUAAAGUGUAAACAUAUACAAUGUUGAUCAGUUAUACCUGAAUAGAGCUGAGGGAAAAGAGAAUAAAAGGAACCAUGACUAACAACAAUGAAAAGAAAUGGAA
rnacentral:lncRNA from 10 species